rnacentral:rRNA from 1 species
GAUGAACGCUGGCGGCGUGCCUAAUACAUGCAAGUCGAGCGAACGGAUGAGAAGCUUGCUUCUCUGAUGUUAGCGGCGGACGGGUGAGUAACACGUGGAUAACCUACCUAUAAGACUGGGAUAACUCCGGGAAACCGGGGCUAAUACCGGAUAAUAUUUUGAACCGCAUGGUUCUAAAGUGAAAGAUGGUUUUGCUGUCACUUAUAGAUGGAUCCGCGCUGCAUUAGCUAGUUGGUAAGGUAACGGCUUACCAAGGCAACGAUGCAUAGCCGACCUGAGAGGGUGAUCGGCCACACUGGAACUGAGACACGGUCCAGACUCCUACGGGAGGCAGCAGUAGGGAAUCUUCCGCAAAGGGCGAAAGCCUGACGGAGCAACGCCGCGUGAGUGAUGAAGGUCUUCGGAUCGUAAAACUCUGUUAUUAGGGAAGAACAUAUGUGUAAGUAACUGUGCACAUCUUGACGGUACCUAAUCAGAAAGCCACGGCUAACUACGUG